UGGGGAAUAUUGGACAAUGGACCGAGAGUCUGAUCCAGCAAUUCUGUGUGCACGAUGAAGUUUUUCGGAAUGUAAAGUGCUUUCAGUUGGGAAGAAACAAAUGACGGUACCAACAGAAGAAGUGACGGCUAAAUACGUGCCAGCAGCCGCGGUAAUACGUAUGUCACGAGCGUUAUCCGGAUUUAUUGGGCGUAAAGCGCGUCUAGGUGGUUAUAUAAGUCUGAUGUGAAAAUGCAGGGCUCAACUCUGUAUUGCGUUGGAAACUGUAUAACUAGAGUACUGGAGAGGUAAGCGGAACUACAAGUGUAGAGGUGAAAUUCGUAGAUAUUUGUAGGAAUGCCGAUGGGGAAGCCAGCUUACUGGACAGAUACUGACGCUGAAGCGCGAAAGCGUGGGUAGCAAACAGGAUUAGAUACCCUGGUAGUCCACGCCGUAACGAUGAUUACUAGGUGUUGGGGGUCGAACCUCAGCGCCCAAGCAAACGCGAUAAGUAAUCCGCCUGGGGAGUACGUACGCAGUAUG
rnacentral:rRNA from 1 species